CCUACGGGAGGCAGCAGUGGGGAAUAUUGCACAAUGGGGGAAACCCUGAUGCAGCGACGCCGCGUGAGUGAAGAAGUAUUUCGGUAUUUAAAGCUCUAUCAGCAGGAACGAGACAAGACGGUACCUGACUACGAAGCCCCGGCUAACUACGUGCCAGCAGCCGCGGUAAUACGUAGGGGGCAAGCGUUAUCCGGAAUCACUGGGUGUAAAGGGAGCGUAGACGGCUGAGCAAGCCUGAAGUGAAAGGCGGGGGCGCAACCCCCGGACUGCUUGGGGAACUGUAGGGCUGGAGUGCAGGAGAGGAAAGUGGAAUUCCUAGUGUAGCGGUGAAAUGCGUAGAUAUCAGGAGGAACACCAGUGGCGAAGGCGGCUUACUGGACUGUAACUGACGUUGAGGCUCGAAAGCGUGGGGAGCAAACAGGAUUAGAUACCCCGGUAGUC
rnacentral:rRNA from 1 species